rnacentral:rRNA from 1 species
UACGGGGGGGGUAAGCGUUGUUCGGAAUUACUGGGCGUAAAGGGCUCGUAGGCGGCCAACUAAGUCGGACGUGAAAUCCCUCAGCUUAACUGGGGAACUGCGUCCGAUACUGGAUGGCUUGGAUUUGGGAGAGGGAUGCGGAAUUCCAGGUGUAGCGGUGAAAUGCGCAGAUAUCAGGAGGAACACCAAUUGCGAAGGCAGCUCGCUGGGACGUUACUGACGCUGAGACGCGAAAGCGUGGGGAGCAAACAGG